UACAGAGGUCUCAAGCGUUGUUCGGAUUUAUUGGGCGUAAAGAGCGUGUAGGCGGCUUUACAGGUCCGUUGUGAAAACUCGAGGCUCAACCUCGAGACGCCGGUGGAAACCGUAAAGCUAGAGUCCGGAAGAGGAGAGUGGAAUUCCUGGUGUAGCGGUGAAAUGCGCAGAUAUCAGGAAGAACACCGGUGGCGAAGGCGGCUCUCUGGGCCUGUCCUGACGCUCAGGCGCGAAAGCUAGGGGAGCGAACAGG
rnacentral:rRNA from 1 species